AGAGUUUGAUCCUGGCUCAGGACGAACGCUGGCGGCGUGCCUAAUACAUGCAAGUAGAACGCUGAAGAGAGGAGCUUGCUCUUCUUGGAUGAGUUGCGAACGGGUGAGUAACGCGUAGGUAACCUGCCUUGUAGCGGGGGAUAACUAUUGGAAACGAUAGCUAAUACCGCAUAACAAUGGAUGACCCAUGUCAUUUAUUUGAAAGGGGCAAAUGCUCCACUACAAGAUGGACCUGCGUUGUAUUAGCUAGUAGGUGAGGUAACGGCUCACCUAGGCGACGAUACAUAGCCGACCUGAGAGGGUGAUCGGCCACAUUGGGACUGAGACACGGCCCAGACUCCUACGGGAGGCAGCAGUAGGGAAUCUUCGGCAAUGGGGGCAACCCUGACCGAGCAACGCCGCGUGAGUGAAGAAGGUUUUCGGAUCGUAAAGCUCUGUUGUAAGUCAAGAACGAGUGUGAGAGUGGAAAGUUCACACUGUGACGGUAGCUUACCAGAAAGGGACGGCUAACUACGUGCCAGCAGCCGCGGUAAUACGUAGGUCCCGAGCGUUGUCCGGAUUUAUUGGGCGUAAAGCGAGCGCAGGCGGUUUGAUAAGUCUGAAGUUAAAGGCUGUGGCUCAACCAUAGUUCGCUUUGGAAACUGUCAAACUUGAGUGCAGAAGGGGAGAGUGGAAUUCCAUGUGUAGCGGUGAAAUGCGUAGAUAUAUGGAGGAACACCGGUGGCGAAAGCGGCUCUCUGGUCUGUAACUGACGCUGAGGCUCGAAAGCGUGGGGAGCGAACAGGAUUAGAUACCCUGGUAGUCCACGCCGUAAACGAUGAGUGCUAGGUGUUGGAUCCUUUCCGGGAUUCAGUGCCGCAGCUAACGCAUUAAGCACUCCGCCUGGGGAGUACGACCGCAAGGUUGAAACUCAAAGGAAUUGACGGGGGCCCGCACAAGCGGUGGAGCAUGUGGUUUAAUUCGAAGCAACGCGAAGAACCUUACCAGGUCUUGACAUCCCGAUGCUAUUUCUAGAGAUAGAAAGUUACUUCGGUACAUCGGUGACAGGUGGUGCAUGGUUGUCGUCAGCUCGUGUCGUGAGAUGUUGGGUUAAGUCCCGCAACGAGCGCAACCCCUAUUGUUAGUUGCCAUCAUUCAGUUGGGCACUCUAGCGAGACUGCCGGUAAUAAACCGGAGGAAGGUGGGGAUGACGUCAAAUCAUCAUGCCCCUUAUGACCUGGGCUACACACGUGCUACAAUGGUUGGUACAACGAGUUGCGAGUCGGUGACGGCAAGCUAAUCUCUUAAAGCCAAUCUCAGUUCGGAUUGUAGGCUGCAACUCGCCUACAUGAAGUCGGAAUCGCUAGUAAUCGCGGAUCAGCACGCCGCGGUGAAUACGUUCCCGGGCCUUGUACACACCGCCCGUCACACCACGAGAGUUUGUAACACCCGAAGUCGGUGAGGUAACCUUUUGGAGCCAGCCGCCUAAGGUGGGAUAGAUGAUUGGGGUGAAGUCGAAACAAGGUA
rnacentral:rRNA from 1 species